CAAUAGCGUAUAUUAAAGUUGUUGCGGUUAAAAGCUCGUAGUUGGAUUUCUGCCGAGGACGUCCGGUCCGCCCUCUGGGUGAGUACAUGGCACGGCCUGGGCAUCUUCUUGGGGAACGUAUCUGCACUUGACUGUGUGGUGCGGUAUCCAGGACUUUUACUUUGAGGAAAUUAGAGUGUUUCAAGCAGGCACACGCCUUGAAUACAUUAGCAUGGAAUAAUAAGAUAGGACCUCGGUUCUAUUUUGUUGGUUUCUAGAGCUGAGGUAAUGAUUAAUAGGGAUAGUUGGGGGCAUUCGUAUUAAGGCGUCAGAGGUGGAAUUCUUGGAUUGCCUUACGACGAACUACUGCGAAAGCAUUUGCCAAGGAUGUUUUCAUUGAUCAAGAACGAAAGUAUGGGGAUCGAAGAUGAUUAGAU
rnacentral:rRNA from 1 species